GUUUCUACAAUUAAAGGAUUCUAAUAUACAGAUUUGUAAGUUACAUUCCUAUAAUUAUGCUCAUGUCUAUAUUGUAUGGAUUAAGAUUCUAUGCGGGACAUUAAAAGGUCUUAUUCGCAUUAAUCCCCCACCUCCGCUUUUUUUCAAAGGCCUUUUAUCCGUUAUCACUUUAUGAGUAGGUGGGAAAAAGAUUUGCGGUGGAUACUGAUGCACACAAGAUUGCAUCUUUGGGUCAAUUUCUUCUCUGGGAGUGGAAAUGCAGACCUCCUUCCUUACAAAGAUUUCCUUUUCUUUGAGCAUGAAGAAAAGUAGCAAAGAUAUACAAAGGGAAGAGGGGAAAACAAACAAGUAUCUUUGGGGCACCAUCUGUAUCUAGCGCAAGCUUUCUUUCCGAAAACAGAGACUUCAAAAAUAGGGAUUAUGGGGCCACGAUCCUAUAAAAGAAAAGCAAUGGACAUUGUGCACAUUUUCUUACAAACACAUACGCUCAAGUUGAAGCAUUCAUUACUUUACUUUGAGCGUAACUUUUGCAUGUACUCACUCCUUCACCGAUCAAAGCUUUGAAAACAAGGGAAUCAAAGCACAUUCGCAACAAGGAAAAAGGAAAACAAGGGAAUCGAUUCAAGACCUUUCGAGUUUAAUCAUUGUGCAUGUAUAUAUCUUCAUUACAUAUAUAGCCAUGAAAAUUUAUAAAUUACUAUUGUUUAUAAUGUAUUGACUGGUCAAGGUUUAAGUAUUA